rnacentral:rRNA from 1 species
AUUGAACGCUGGCGGCAUGCCUUACACAUGCAAGUCGAACGGUAACAGGUUAAGCUGCCGAGUGGCGAACGGGUGAGUAAUGUAUCGGAACGUGCCCAGUCGUGGGGGAUAACUGCUCGAAAGAGCAGCUAAUACCGCAUACGACCUGAGGGUGAAAGCGGGGGAUCGCAAGACCUCGCGCGAUUGGAGCGGCCGAUAUCAGAUUAGGUAGUUGGUGAGGUAAAGGCUCACCAAGCCGACGAUCUGUAGCUGGUCUGAGAGGACGACCAGCCACACUGGGACUGAGACACGGCCCAGACUCCUACGGGAGGCAGCAGUGGGGAAUUUUGGACAAUGGGCGCAAGCCUGAUCCAGCCAUGCCGCGUGCGGGAAGAAGGCCUUCGGGUUGUAAACCGCUUUUGUCAGGGAAGAAAAGGUUCUGGCUAAUACCUAGGACUCAUGACGGUACCUGAAGAAUAAGCACCGGCUAACUACGUG